UAAGCACAGCUCUUGUCUGUAA
rnacentral:miRNA from 1 species